rnacentral:rRNA from 1 species
UACAGAGGUCUCAAGCGUUGUUCGGAUUCAUUGGGCGUAAAGGGUGCGUAGGCGGCGCGGUAAGUCGGGUGUGAAAUCUCGGGGCUUAACUCCGAAACUGCAUUCGAUACUGCCGUGCUUGAGGACUGGAGAGGAGACUGGAAUUUACGGUGUAGCGGUGAAAUGCGUAGAUAUCGUAAGGAAGACCAGUGGCGAAGGCAGCACUCUGGGACGGUACUGACGCUGAGACGCGAAAGCGUGGGGAGCAAACAGG